ACCUCAAGUACUCUACAACUGAACUACACCCCCAGCCCCACACUACAAUUUCUUAUUACACCAAAACCUGUUUUGCUCWUGGAGGAAAUUGUGUUUGGAAUCAUUCAAUGCUACAUACCAAGUAGACUUUGUAUCUAUUGCAGUUUUAUAUGGACACUGAAACACCUGUAUUCAUUUCCAACCAAAUUCUUUACCCAUUUUUCUAUGAAUUGAUUAAAUAUAACCUAGGUGCUCAUUUAAAUGGCAGUUUACACAUUAUACAUAAAAUACUGAGAUAGGAUAGAAGACAUAAUAUUAGAAAAAAGACAUGGGAUAAAAUAAGAGUGGCCAUAUUUAAAUUCCUGUUUUAAAUUCCACUUCUACAUAACUUUGUUCAGAUACAACACUAUUAAGUCAAUUAUCAGAACUUAUCCACAGGUUCCUAAGUAACCUCGCUCUGACUUUUGCAUAAACAAAAAUAGACCCCAAAUUCGUUGCUCAAGGAAAGAUUUUUUUCUCUAAUUUAUAUUUUUAGGAUCUGAUUACUCCACACAUGUACCACACUCCUGAUAAAAUGCACAGUAACCCUCAAUUAUACAUAAAUAUAGUAUAGUACUGUUUAAACUUACAAAGCAAAACCAUGAAACACCACAGAGCGAAGGUGAGAUUUUUCUCACACUCACACACAAAAUCAAAAAACAAACGACAAUAAAAAACCCCAAAUAACCUCCCCAACAAACCCCUAAUAGGUAAGGAUGAACACCUCAAGUGAUGAACACAAAAAACAAAGAACUAAAAAUACCUUCUGACAUCAUGCCUGUAAACUAGAUUUGAUUAUUUAUAUACAUAUGUAUCAUAUACGUAAACUGUGUAUUACAUAGAUAUUGUGUACACAUUCGCCUUCCAUGUUAGGGUGAAGCCAGCCUGGCCCACUCCCACCCCUGCACUGUCUUCUCUCCGCCUGCGUCCUUUUGAGGGUCAAGAACUCUCACAGCUCAAGUUGCUGACCGCUUCCCUCUCCUUCGGGACCUCCUGGGUCCCGGUGACGACACCACCAGGACACAAAGGGUUGUUGGGAACGACCCUUGAGAGGAGCGUAAGGAAUCGAAACUCACUACCAAAUCACCACCGAAGGGGCUCAGAGAACACGGCAUCACACAGGCACGACUGUGGCUUCUUUUCAAAACCUAUUUUUGAGUGGCUUAGACAAGGCAAGUCUUGGCCCUACGCCUUGCGCGGUCGACUCAGACAUUCGCCGAGAUCUCACACCACCGCGGUCCUCCGCCGGCCGUUCUGCACCCGGUUCCUGGGACGGUUCCCAGACUCGGGGUCGCUCGGCGGACGACGGCUCCAGUUCUGCUUCCGCCCCAGAGGCUCAGGCGUGGCUCCGGCAGAGGCGUGGGUGGCCACGCCCUCACUAGCUUCAGCUGGCCCCCGGAUGUAGCUCAGCCGCUCACCUCAACCCAGUCUCGGAGAGCGUCUCGCGCCUGCGCACUCCACCCGAGAGCGAAGAGGCGGGACCACGUGGCCCCGCCCCCGCGCUCCCACGCCCCUCCAGGUGCGCGUGCGCCGCGACUCCUCCUCCUGGGCUUCACUCCCCUGCGGAUCGGCGGCGGGCGGCAGUUUCCUUUGGCUGCUCCGCGGCUUCGCGCUAGCCCUCACGCUGGGCGCCCGCUGCCUCCUCCGCAGCCCGGCGGUCAGGCCAUGGCGUGGCCGCGGCGGGCUAUGGCCGGGAUCCGAGCCCGCGGCGCGUUGGCGCUGCUGGCCUUGGCCUGGUACGCGCCCGGGGCCCAGAGCCGAGCGCUCGAGUGGUACUCGGCGGUGGUGGGCCUCGAGUACGUGGACCCGCAGACGAACCUGACGGUGCGGAGCGUCUCGGAGAGCGGCCGCUUCGGUGACAGCUCGCCCCAGGAGGACGCGCAGGGCCUGGUGGGCGUCCCGCUCGCGCCGGGAGGAGACCCCGAGGGCUGCGCGCCAGGCACGCGCUUCUUGGUGCCCACGCCGGGCGGCCAGGGCCCGGCGCCGUGGGUCGCCCUGGUGGCGCGGGGGGGCUGCACCUUCAAGGAGAAGGUGCUGGCGGCGGCGCGGAGGAACGCCUCGGCGGUGGUGGUGUACAACGAGGAGCGCUACGGGAACCUCACCGCGUCCAUGUCCCACGCUGGAACAGGAAGUAUAGUGGUCAUUAUGGUUAGCUAUCUAAAAGGAAGAGAAAUUUUAGAUGUGGUACAAAAAGGAAUUCCAGUAAAAGUGACCAUAGGGAUUGGCACCCGUCAUGUGCAGGAGUUCAUCAGCGGUCAGUCUGUGGUGUUUGUGGCCAUUGCCUUCAUCACUAUGAUGAUUAUCUCCUUAGCCUGGCUAAUAUUUUACUAUAUACAACGUUUCCUGUAUACUGGCUCGCAGUUUGGAAGUCAGAGCCAUAGAAAGGAAACUAAGAAARUUAUUGGCCAGCUUCUACUUCAUACUGUAAAGCAUGGAGAAAAGGGAAUUGAUGUUGAUGCCGAGAAUUGUGCAGUGUGUAUUGAAAAUUUUAAAGUAAAGGACGUUAUCAGAAUUCUGCCAUGCAAGCAUAUUUUUCAUAGAAUAUGCAUUGACCCAUGGCUUUUGGAUCACCGAACAUGUCCAAUGUGUAAACUUGAUGUCAUCAAAGCCCUGGGAUAUUGGGGAGCAGAACCUGAGGAUGUUCAGGAGCUGCCCACUCCUGAGUCUACCCCUGGAAGCACUUYGCCUGGGAAUAUGAGUGUAGCUUCACAAGAGGAGGGCAGAAACAGUGGCAGUGGCAGCAACCUGCCAUCCUCAUCCACUAAUGAGUCUGGGCCACAGUGCCCUACCACUUUCAAAGAAGAUGCAGGGGAAAACACAGCAUUACUUGGAAUGGUGUGAAGGAAACCGAAUCCCUGACACUGAAGUACAUGGUGGUUCCCUGCCUGCCUGGCCUCUUCACUCCCUGGGGUGUGAUUGGCAUUCUGACUUUCCCAGCAGAAAACCUCAGAGGGCCAGAGAGGUGUGAGGACAUGGUCAUUUGGCAGGUGAUAUGAAGAUAUUAAAACUUAAAAAGAUCCUGAGAACCCAAGUUUUUUUGUUUUGUUUUUGUCUAACGUAAUUAAAAUCCCAGUUAACGAAAAGGAAUCUUGCUGUUGUCCAUGCUGGCCUGGGCCURAGUGAUCCCCCUGCCUCAGAUGCCAGAGUAGCUGGGAUUUACAGGUGCACACCCCUGCCCACUUUCUUUUACUUUUAAACAUGUUUAAUGAAGAACCUUGUGGUGGUAUUUAAGCCUCAACUCUUC